GGAAAGCAAAUUCAAUAAAAGCCUAUGAACCUUGUCAGGUCCGGAAGGAAGCAGCAAUAAGUAGAUACUUUUAUGUGGAGUUGUUUUCCAUA
rnacentral:SRP_RNA from 2 species